rnacentral:rRNA from 1 species
AUGAACGCUGGCGGCGUGCCUAAUACAUGCAAGUCGAGCGAACAGACGAGGAGCUUGCUCCUCUGACGUUAGCGGCGGACGGGUGAGUAACACGUGGAUAACCUACCUAUAAGACUGGGAUAACUUCGGGAAACCGGAGCUAAUACCGGAUAAUAUAUUGAACCGCAUGGUUCAAUAGUGAAAGACGGUUUUGCUGUCACUUAUAGAUGGAUCCGCGCCGCAUUAGCUAGUUGGUAAGGUAACGGCUUACCAAGGCGACGAUGCGUAGCCGACCUGAGAAGGUGAUCGGCCACACUGGAACUGAGACACGGUCCAGACUCCUACGGGAGGCAGCAGUAGGGAAUCUUCCGCAAUGGGCGAAAGCCUGACGGAGCAACGCCGCGUGAGUGAUGAAGGUCUUCGGAUCGUAAAACUCUGUUAUUAGGGAAGAACAAAUGUGUAAGUAACUAUGCACGUCUUGACGGUACCUAAUCAGAAAGCCACGGCUAACUACGUG